rnacentral:rRNA from 1 species
ACGUAGGGCGCAAGCGUUGCUCGGAUUUACUGGGCGUAAAGGGUCCGUAGGCGGGAAUGUAAGUCGGGUGUGAAAUUUCGGAGCUUAACUCAGAAGCUGCGCUCGAUACUGCAGCCCUAGAUUACAAAAGAGUAGAGUUGAAUUCCCUGUGUUGCGCUGGGAUGCGUAGAUAUCGGGAGGAUUAUCGAUGGCGCAGGCAGCUCUCUGGGCUGUAACUGACACUGAGGGACGAAAGCGUGUGAAGCAAACAG